GGGGGUGACAGGUUUCGACUCCGUACGUUGAGGCAGGGGAAGCGAGCCGAGGAAGCCGACGUCGUCUCGGUAAUCGUCGUCGGAAACCAAUAAGCGCCAAGACUAAUAGUCAAGCGCGUUACGCCCUCGCCAGCUAAGGCGGGAUAGCGUAGCCGUCGGUCUGGAUUCGCCUUCGGUCCAGUUCACCGGCGUCAGCUAGAAGGCUGGCCAAACGGAUCCCGUCGGGGGGUCCGUGCGGCGAGAUCAAACCCGACUGGGCCCGUCACGCCGACUCGCUCACGUGAUCGGAGGGGCCGAGUAGAGGCGAAGUGAGCUGCGCUCGGAGAAGCCCUGGCAAGGCGACGGAGGACCCGGGUUCGAUUCCCGGCACCUCCACAG
rnacentral:tmRNA from 1 species